rnacentral:rRNA from 1 species
GAUGAACGCUAGCUACAGGCUUAACACAUGCAAGUCGAGGGGCAGCGCAGUGUAGCAAUACAUGGGCGGCGACCGGCGCACGGGUGCGUAACGCGUAUCCAACCUUCCCGUUACUCAGGGAUAGCCUUCCGAAAGGGAGAUUAAUACCUGAUGGUGUUCAAAUUCCGCAUGUUAUUUGAACUAAAGAUUUAUCGGUAACGGAUGGGGAUGCGUGACAUUAGGUAGAUGGCGGGGUAACGGCCCACCAUGCCUACGAUGUCUAGGGGUUCUGAGAGGAAGGUCCCCCACACUGGAACUGAGACACGGUCCAGACUCCUACGGGAGGCAGCAGUGAGGAAUAUUGGUCAAUGGCCGGAAGGCUGAACCAGCCAAGUAGCGUGAAGGAUGAAGGUUCUAUGGAUUGUAAACUUCUUUUAUACGGGAAUAAAACCUCCCACGUGUGGGAGCUUGUAUGUACCGUAUGAAUAAGCAUCGGCUAACUCCGUGCCAGCAGCCGCGGUAAUAC